rnacentral:rRNA from 1 species
CGGCGAGUGAAGCGGCAAAAGCUCAAAUUUGAAAUCUGGUACCUUCGGUGCCCGAGUUGUAAUUUGGAGAGGGCAACUUUGGGGCCGUUCCUUGUCUAUGUUCCUUGGAACAGGACGUCAUAGAGGGUGAGAAUCCCGUGUGGCGAGGAGUGCGGUUCUUUGUAAAGUGCCUUCGAAGAGUCGAGUUGUUUGGGAAUGCAGCUCUAAGUGGGUGGUAAAUUCCAUCUAAAGCUAAAUAUUGGCGAGAGACCGAUAGCGAACAAGUACAGUGAUGGAAAGAUGAAAAGAACUUUGAAAAGAGAGUGAAAAAGUACGUGAAAUUGUUGAAAGGGAAGGGCAUUUGAUCAGACAUGGUGUUUUGUGCCCUCUGCUCCUUGUGGGUAGGGGAAUCUCGCAUUUCACUGGGCCAGCAUCAGUUUUGGUGGCAGGAUAAAUCCAUAGGAAUGUAGCUUGCCUCGGUAAGUAUUAUAGCCUGUGGGAAUACUGCCAGCUGGGACUGAGGACUGCGACGUAAGUCAA